rnacentral:rRNA from 1 species
UACGAAGGGGGCGAGCGUUGUUCGGAUUUACUGGGCGUAAAGGGCGCGUAGGCGGCUAUUCAAGUCAGGCGUGAAAGCCCCCGGCUCAACUGGGGAGUGUCGUGCGAUACGGUCGAACUGGAGGCCAGUAGGGGGAUGCGGAAUUCCGGGUGUAGUGGUGGAAUGCGUAGAGAUCCGGAGGAACACCAGCGGCGAAGGCGGCAUCCUGGACUGGUCCUGACACUCAUGAGCGAAAGCGUGGGGAGCGAUCCGG